UGACAACUGGAAAGCUCCCCACCAAACCCUCCAGCCUUGGUUACUAAUGAUGUGGUUUGGCACAAUGGAAAUGUCAUAGGCUUUGCGGUGAAACUGACUUCUACCUCCACUCCUGCCAACACUUAUUAUUAGCCUCUUAAGUCCCUGAGCCUGUUUCAGAGGUAAUCUCACAGAGAGGCUAGAGAAUUACAAAACAUGUAGAGAGCCUGGCACUAAUACCUACCUCCCCCACCAGCAGCUCUUAAUUAUGAGAUCAACCACUAUUAUUUUAGACCAGAGAGUUUUAUUGGGGAUUGGGUUUGUGUCAGAAGGCACUAUUUUGAAUAAGAUGUGUAGCUUCUAUUUAGAUAUUUGCCUUUAAAGCCAGCUGAGCUAUUUUCCUAUUGUUUGCAAAUUUACUUUUAUUAAAUAAAAUUUCCUAAAGCAGUGUUUCCCCAAUCUGAUGGUCAUCAAAAAAAUCACCUAGAGUUUUCUAAACAUAGAUUCCAAUGAAUCUAAAUCAGAAUCUGAGAGUGGGACUAGAAAAUACUUAAUUCUAUCCUGUGGUACAAGCUGGUCUCACACUUGCAUCUUUGCACCUAAGACUAGAUAAAACUGGUACUAACCCUCUAACCCCAGCAUCCCAUCCUUGGGGAAAUAGGCUAGUUUAGAGGUAGUCCUGGACUGGAGCACUAAGUCCAGCAUUCCCCACCUGCAUAAAACUACCCACAUGAUCAUAUGUCCCCUGGGCUUUCAAGCUGAUAGGAAAAAGCGUCUUGCUAAACGAAAUCCCCCAACUUCUUGGUAAUGUGAAGAACUGUACUGCAAAGCUUUGAAGCAAUCCUAUGUUAGGCAUGCGGGUGGGAACAGGGGGCCAGACAGGGAGAGGGAAAAAAUGGAAUAGAAUGAUCCGAGAGUAAAUAAUUUUUGCUUUAUUAUGAACCAAGUCACAUUUUGUCUCUUCCAACAGAUGCUUGAGCCAAAGAAGCAAACAUAGGCAGAAAUACAAUUGAGAAUAUCUUCAUGUUUCAACCUUUAAUCUGAUUUGCCUUUUACUGUCCUUUCCCCAUUUCUUCUGAUCUCUUUUGCCUUACAAUAUAUUACCUUCUAGGUAUCACCUCAUCCUAUAGAAUCCCUUCUAGUUUAAUGUCCUGCCCCAAACAAUACUAACCCAUUGAAGAUAACUAUGAAACCUUUAAAUGGACAGUGGUUCCUUUUAAAAGCAGCCUUACUGAAAAUUUUAUAUGCACUUAAUCAAGUAAGUUACCGUGAGUUUUCUAAACUUUUGUGUUAACAGAAAUGCCAGUUCAACAGUGUGACUGUUACUUUUAAAUGUCUGUCUUGCCGCCCUAGAGUGAACAGACAUCCCAGUUAAACAUAUUAGGAAUAAGAAAUACAUAAAUCCAAUGAAGACUGUAGAAAAAGAAUUUUAGCACUUGAAGGAACUUCAGUCAUUUAACCCAACCCAUUCAUGUUAUAGAUUGAGACCAUAGAAAUAAAAGUAGCCUAUAGGAUACAAAAGUUAGCGGCAGAUCUGAGAUAAAAAUCCAGCUCUUUGGAUCCCCGCGUUUUUCACCACACCUAGCUGUCGUUACCAUGUAUUACGAACAAAGAAUCAAAUAUAAUCAAGUGCAGCCUCACUUCACAGGCAAGAAAAGAGACUAGAGUUUAAUAUAUUGCCCAUGUUUAUCUUAAGGUGAAACAUUUACUCUUACAACCACAGUUGAUGUUAACCUAGUUAAUAAAAUAUGAAAGGUAAUUACUAGGGGAAUUUUAAACGGCACUACAUAAGCAAACAUGACUCAAAUUACUUUUUCCAUUUCUGCUUCCCAAAUUAUUGGAGUUACUGAAGCAAACUAUGCUGCUUUCAAUUCCAGUGAUAGGCAUAUUCCCAAAUAAACUCAUUUAAAGAGCUCAUAAAAUGUAUUCUCUUACUUCCAAGUCAGUUGAUUAGCAAAUUAAGAUACAGCUAAAAGUUACCCUACUGCUUAAGGGUUUUCUGGUCCAAUUUUUAAGGUUUUCGGAUUUAAAGAUUUAGACUGCAUACCAAAGCUGGACAAAGACAACGCAAGCUGAUUUAGGUUGUCACGUAGCACAUACUCUAGUUUAAACCCUCAACUACAACAAAAGAAAUGGUGUAUUGUCAUUUUUGCCAAAGCACCCCAAAAUGAAAUACUUUCUUACUCAAUCUAGGUUUUUUUUUUUUCAUUCUAGUCCCUUAAGCUCCUAGGAUUUUUAGAUGUUGAAAAUACUCCCUGCGCCCGGCAUUCAAUAUUGUAUGGUUCAUUAGGAUCUGUUGUGGCUGGCUUUGGACAUUUUUUGUUCACUAGUAGAAUUAGAAGAUCAUGUGAUGUUGGAGUAGGAGGGUUUAUCUUGGUGACUUUGGGAUGCUGGUUUCAUUGUAGGUAUAAUUAUGCAAAGCAAAGAAUCCAGGAAAGAAUUGCCAGAGAAGAAAUUAAAAAGAAGAUACUAUAUGAAGGUACCCACCUCGAUCCUGAAAGAAAACACAACGGCAGCAGCAGCAAUUGAACAAUCUUGAGCACAGAAGUCAAUGUAAAUGAAGUUAAGAUCAACCACAUAAAACAUUUCAUGUGCAAUAAACUCUCAAUCAAGUAAAUAAAGUUUAAGUUGUA
rnacentral:sRNA from 1 species